UUUAAAUUAUAUUUAAAUAAACACCUCAGGUGCAUGUGUUAGUUGCUCAGCCAUGUCCAACUCUUUGUGAUUCCAUGGACUGUAGCCUGCCUGGCUCCCCUGUCUGUGGAAUUCUCCAGACAAGAAUACUGGAGUGGGUUGCCAUUCGCUUCUCCAGGGAAUCUUCCUAACCCAGUAAUCAAAUCCAAGUCUCCCUCAUAACAGGCAGAUUCUUUACCAUCUGAGCCACCAGNNNNNNNNNNNNNNNNNUGGAGCGGGUUGCCAUCCCCUUCUCCAGGGGACCACCUCAAUUCCCUACUACAUUUAUAGGACUGAGAUUCACAGCACAGUGCUUUUUCUCCAACAUCAUUUGUGAAUGUGUGCAAAAUUUUCUUUUUUCUUGAGAGGUGGGGGAAUAAAAGUUCAGGGAUGUAAACAGACGAUUUUGGCUGAGCUGCUAAAUUUCACAUGUAUCAAGCUCCCUGGCUUGCCUAUGCCCCACUGCAAAUACUCCAGUGCUCACACAUGUUGUGAGAGUUGAGGGAGAGGAUACAAAGAGGUGCGUUUUCAUGUGAAUUACGAUAAAAUACUGAAUUAAUUCUUGGGAUUUCAUGUAAUGGAAUAAAUUAACAGACAUUACUUGGUAGGCAAAUAAAGUCACACUCAAUUCUCAGAAGAUUCUUAGAAAAGAAAGGAGUGCUAUUUAUCACCAUUACAAAGAGACAGCAAGUGGGGAAAAACAAAUAUCCAUUCCUCAAAUAGCCAUCCCUCAUGGACCUUAUAAAAAAGGGUGCUAGAGAAACAGAGGACUGAACAUCUGUGGAAGAAAAAUUCAGGAGGACAUGAUUGUUGGGACAAGGUACAAAGGAAUUCACAAAACAGGAAUUCUGCUUACCACAUCUUGCCUUCAGCAAAGGUUCUUUGUAUACGGCGCCUGUCACAUCUUGUAUCUUUUAUACAUUUUGACCUUUGUUUCGGAAACACAGAUAUUUCAAAACCAUGCACACAAGUCACAGAGAAUUCAGAUUUGCCUGUGCUUAUACAAUAAGACUUAAGCUCUAGUGAAGUGAAAUUCUUUGCAAUAAAUCUUCAGUAACACCUUGUCAAAGCUAACACAAAAUAAUUAAAGGAAGCAAAGAGAGCAGAUGGCUCUACUUUCACCUUUAG
rnacentral:lncRNA from 1 species